UUAUUAGUGAAGAACUUAUUAACUUUUUUUUUUACUUACUUUUUUUUUUGGCUUAUUAGCUAAAUUAGGCCUACUUUUGUCAUAUUUCGAAACCUGGAAAAUGAGGGGGAAAAGUGUUUGACGGCCCUGGUUUUUCCAGCUUAUGAAGGUGUACAGCCCUGCCAGUGAGCUCUAUAUAUAUCUGGAGUAAGAACUUCAGUCAUUCGGUCAAUGAGAAAAGCGAAGCCAAGAUGGCGACCAUUGACGUCCAAUAGCUCUGAAGGUCGUAAACAGUUUUUAUACCAUUUUCGCCAGCUAAAUCCAGUUUUUUCUAACGGUUCAUAAAAUCACGAUACUAUUCAUUAAAUCAAAGUCAAAAUACGAAAUUUCAACACACUCCUUGCCAAGAUGGCGGAAAUUGAAGGAGCUAUUGGACGUCAGUUCCAGUCCCUUUCUAUUGUUUUUGUCUGCGCGGUUAACACGAAACUGGCUUCACUUUGAGCAACCAAGUUCCUACUCCAGAUAUAUAUGGAGCUCACAGAGCGCUGCCGACAAGCAAAAUGUCGUAAUAAGUAGCCAAACGAGGU